rnacentral:rRNA from 1 species
UACGGGGGGGGCAAGCGUUGUUCGGAAUUACUGGGCGUAAAGGGCUCGUAGGUGGCCAACUAAGUCGGACGUGAAAUCCCUCAGCUUAACUGGGGAACUGCGUCCGAUACUGGAUGGCUCGAGUUUGGGAGAGGGAUGCGGAAUUCCAGGUGUAGCGGUGAAAUGCGUAGAGAUCGGGAGGAACACCAGUGGCGAAGGCGGCUACCUGGACCAGCACUGACACUGAGGCACGAAAGCGUGGGGAGCAAACAGG